rnacentral:rRNA from 1 species
CCUACGGGAGGCAGCAGUGGGGAAUAUUGGACAAUGGGCGAAAGCCUGAUCCAGCCAUGCCGCGUGUGUGAAGAAGGUCUUCGGAUUGUAAAGCACUUUAAGUUGGGAGGAAGGGCAUUAACCUAAUACGUUAGUGUUUUGACGUUACCAACAGAAUAAGCACCGGCUAACUUCGUGCCAGCAGCCGCAGUAAU